rnacentral:rRNA from 1 species
CUGGCGGCGUGCCUAAUACAUGCAAGUCGAACGGUCUUUCUAUGGAAGCUUGCUUCCGCUGAGAAGAUAGUGGCGAACGGGUGAGUAACACGUGGGUAACCUGCCCAUAAGAGGGGGAUAACAUCCGGAAACGGGUGCUAAUACCGCAUAGUUUUCUUGAUCGCAUGAUCGGGAAAGGAAAGACGGCCUUUGUGCUGUCGCUUAUGGAUGGACCCGCGGCGUAUUAGUUAGUUGGUGAGGUAAUGGCUCACCAAGACGAUGAUACGUAGCCGACCUGAGAGGGUGAUCGGCCACAUUGGGACUGAGACACGGCCCAAACUCCUACGGGAGGCAGCAGUAGGGAAUCUUCCGCAAUGGACGAAAGUCUGACGGAGCAACGCCGCGUGAGUGAAGAAAGGUUUUCGGAUCGUAAAACUCUGUUGUCAGAGAAGAACAAGUUGGAGAGUAACUGCUCCAGCCUUGACGGUAUCUGACCAGAAAGCCACGGCUAACUACGUGCCAGCCGCCGC